UACCCAGCAACUCCUAUUCCUACCUCCUCGCGGUACUUGCCGGGGUACGAGUAACCGGUUUAUGGACAAAAGGUCGAAAGG
rnacentral:ribozyme from 1 species